rnacentral:rRNA from 1 species
AGCGGCGGACGGGUGAGUAACGCGUGGGUAACCUGCCUCAUACAGGGGGAUAACAGUUAGAAAUGACUGCUAAUACCGCAUAAGACCACAGCACCGCAUGGUGCGGGGGUAAAAACUCCGGCGGUAUGAGAUGGACCCGCGUCUGAUUAGCUGGUUGGUAAGGUAACGGCUUACCAAGGCGACGAUCAGUAGCCGACCUGAGAGGGUGACCGGCCACAUUGGGACUGAGACACGGCCCAA